UACGGGGGGGGGCAAGCGUUGUUCGGAAUUACUGGGCGUAAAGGGCUCGUAGGCGGCCAACUAAGUCAGACGUGAAAUCCCCAGGCUCAACCUGGGAACUGCGUCCGAUACUGGAUGGCUUGAAUCCGGGAGAGGGAUGCAGAAUUCCAGGUGUAGCGGUGAAAUGCGUAGAUAUCUGGAGGAAUACCGGUGGCGAAGGCGGCAUCCUGGACCGGCAUUGACGCUGAGGAGCGAAAGCCAGGGGAGCAAAGCGGG
rnacentral:rRNA from 1 species